rnacentral:rRNA from 1 species
UUUAUCAAAAACAUGGCUAUUAGAAGGUGUUUAUAGUCUAGCCUGCUCACUGACANAUUAUUGUUUAAGAGCCGCGGUAUUCUGACCGUGCAAAGGUAGCAUAAUCAUUAGUUUUUUAAUUGGAAACUUGUAUGAAUGGUUGGACAAAAGAAAAACUGUCUCUAUUUUAAAAAUUGAAAUUAACUUUUAAGUGAAAAGGCUUAAAUUAUUCAAUGGGACGAUAAGACCCUAUAAAGCUUUAUAUUAUAUUUAAAUUUGAUUGAAUUACUAUAAGAGUAUAAAAAUUUAAUUUGAAUUAUGUAUUUUGUUGGGGCGACAUGUGUAUAAAUAAAUUUAACUGUAUAUUUAAAUAAUCAUUGAUAGGUGAGUAUAAAAUAAAUGAUCCCUUUUAAGGAUUAAAAGAUUAAGUUACUUUAGGGAUAACAGCGUUAUUUCUUUUGAGAGUUCUUAUCGAAAAAGAAGUUUGCGACCUCGAUGUUGAAUUAAAAUGUCUUUAUGGUGUAGCUGCUAUAAGAAGAAGGUCUGUUCGACCUUUAAAAU